GACGUAGGGGGCAAGCGUUGUCCGGAAUUAUUGGGCGUAAAGCGCUCGUAGGCGGAUCGGUAAGUCUGUGAAGAAAGACCCGGGCUCAACUCGGGGAACGGCAUAGAUACUGCUGAUCUUGAGACAGUCAGAGGAUGAUGGAAUUCCAGGUGUAGCGGUGAAAUGCGUAGAUAUCUGGAGAAACACCAGUGGCGAAGGCGAUCAUCUGGGGCUGUUCUGACGCUGAGGAGCGAAAGCUAGGGGAGCAAACGGG
rnacentral:rRNA from 1 species